AUUAGGGACGGGCAUGAGUACUCAAGGUCAGAGACAAUAUUAUAGGUGACGGGCAUGAGUACUCAAGGUCAGAGAGACUAUUAUUAGGGGUGGCAUGAGUACCUGAAGUCAGAGACACGAUUAUUAGUGACGGGCAUGAGUACUCGAGGUCAGAGACACGAUUAUUAGUGACGGGCAUGAGUACCUAAAGUCAGAGACACGAUUAUUAGUGACGGGCAUGAGUACUCGAGGUCAGAGACACGAUUAUUAGUGACGGGCAUGAGUACCUGAAGUCAGAGACACGAUUAUUAGUGACGGGCAUGAGUACCUGAAGUCAGAGACACGAUUAUUAGUGACGGGCAUGAGUACCUGAAGUCAGAGACACGAUUAUUAGUGACGGGCAUGAGUACCUGAAGUCAGAAACACGAUUAUUAGUGACGGGCAUGAGUACCUGAAGUCAGAGACACGAUUAUUAGUGACGGGCAUGAGUACCUGAAGUCAGAAACACGAUUAUUAGUGACGGGCAUGAGUACCUGAAGUCAGAGACACGAUUAUUAGUGACGGGCAUGAGUACUCGAGAUCAGAGACACGAUUAUUAGGGACGGGCAUGAGUACUCGAGGUCAAAGACAAUAUUAUUAGGGAUGAGCAUGAGUACUCAAGGUCAGAGACACGAUUAUUAGUGACGGGCAUGAGUACUCAAGGUCAGAGAGACUAUUAUUAGGGGUGGCAUGAGUACCUGAAGUCAGAGACACGAUUAUUAGUGAUGGGCAUGAGUACUCGAGGUCAGAGACACGAUUAUUAGUGACGGGCAUGAGUACCUGAAGUCAGAAACACGAUUAUUAGUGACGGGCAUGAGUACCUGAAGUCAGAAACACGAUUAUUAGUGACGGGCAUGAGUACCUGAAGUCAGAAACACGAUUAUUAGUGACGGGCAUGAGUACCUGAAGUCAGAGACACGAUUAUUAGUGACGGGCAUGAGUACUCGAGGUCAGAGACACGAUUAUUAGUGACGGGCAUGAGUACCUAAAGUCAGAGACACGAUUAUUAGUGACGGGCAUGAGUACCUGAAGUCAGAGACACGAUUAUUAGUGACGGGCAUGAGUACCUGAAGUCAGAGACACGAUUAUUAGUGACGGGCAUGAGUACCUGAAGUCAGAGACACGAUUAUUAGUGACGGGCAUGAGUACCUGAAGUCAGAAACACGAUUAUUAGUGACGGGCAUGAGUACCUGAAGUCAGAGACACGAUUAUUAGUGACGGGCAUGCGUACCUGAAGUCAGAGACACGAUUAUUAGUGACGGGCAUGAGUACUCGAGAUCAGAGACACGAUUAUUAGGGACGGGCAUGAGUACUCGAGGUCAAAGACACGAUUAUUAGUGACGGGCAUGAGUACCUGAAGUCAGAGACACGAUUAUUAGUGACGGGCAUGAGUACCUGAAGUCAGAGACACGAUUAUUAGUGACGGGCAUGAGUACCUGAAGUCAGAGACACGAUUAUUAGUGACGGGCAUGAGUACCUGAAGUCAGAAACACGAUUAUUAGUGACGGGCAUGAGUACCUGAAGUCAGAGACACGAUUAUUAGUGACGGGCAUGAGUACCUGAAGUCAGAGACACGAUUAUUAGUGACGGGCAUGAGUACCUGAAGUCAGAAACACGAUUAUUAGUGACGGGCAUGAGUACCUGAAGUCAGAAACACGAUUAUUAGUGACGGGCAUGAGUACCUGAAGUCAGAAACACGAUUAUUAGUGACGGGCAUGAGUACCUGAAGUCAGAGACACGAUUAUUAGUGACGGGCAUGAGUACUCGAGGUCAGAGACACGAUUAUUAGUGACGGGCAUGAGUACCUAAAGUCAGAGACACGAUUAUUAGUGACGGGCAUGAGUACCUGAAGUCAGAGACACGAUUAUUAGUGACGGGCAUGAGUACCUGAAGUCAGAGACACGAUUAUUAGUGACGGGCAUGAGUACCUGAAGUCAGAGACACGAUUAUUAGUGACGGGCAUGAGUACCUGAAGUCAGAAACACGAUUAUUAGUGACGGGCAUGAGUACCUGAAGUCAGAGACACGAUUAUUAGUGACGGGCAUGAGUACCUGAAGUCAGAGACACGAUUAUUAGUGACGGGCAUGAGUACUCGAGAUCAGAGACACGAUUAUUAGGGACGGGCAUGAGUACUCGAGGUCAAAGACAAUAUUAUUAGGGAUGAGCAUGAGUACUCAAGGUCAGAGACACGAUUAUUAGUGACGGGCAUGAGUACUCAAGGUCAGAGAGACUAUUAUUAGGGGUGGCAUGAGUACCUGAAGUCAGAGACACGAUUAUUAGUGAUGGGCAUGAGUACUCGAGGUCAGAGACACGAUUAUUAGUGACGGGCAUGAGUACCUGAAGUCAGAGACACGAUUAUUAGUGACGGGCAUGAGUACCUGAAGUCAGAAACACGAUUAUUAGUGACGGGCAUGAGUACCUGAAGUCAGAAACACGAUUAUUAGUGACGGGCAUGAGUACUCGAGGUCAGAGACACGAUUAUUAGUGACGGGCAUGAGUACCUGAAGUCAGAAACACGAUUAUUAGUGACGGCAUGAGUACUCGAGGUCAGAGACAUGAUUAUUAGUGACGGGCAUGAGUACCUGAAGUCAGAGACACGAUUAUUAGUGACGGGCAUGAGUACCUGAAGUCAGAAACACGAUUAUUAGUGACGGGCAUGAGUACUCGAGGUCAGAGACAUGAUUAUUAGUGAUGGGCAUGAGUACCUGAAGUCAGAAACACGAUUAUUAGUGACGGGCAUGAGUACCUGAAGUCAGAGACAUGAUUAUUAGUGACGGGCAUGAGUACCUGAAGUCAGAAACACGAUUAUUAGUGACGGGCAUGAGUACUCGAGGUCAGAGACAUGAUUAUUAGUGAUGGGCAUGAGUACCUGAAGUCAGAAACACGAUUAUUAGUGACGGGCAUGAGUACUCGAAGUCAGAGACACGAUUAUUAGUGACGGGCAUGAGUACCUGAAGUCAGAAACACGAUUAUUAGUGACGGCAUGAGUACUCGAGGUCAGAGACACGAUUAUUAGUGACGGGCAUGAGUACCUGAAGUCAGAAACACGAUUAUUAGUGACGGGCAUGAGUACUCGAGGUCAGAGACAUGAUUAUUAGUGAUGGGCAUGAGUACCUGAAGUCAGAAACACGAUUAUUAGUGACGGGCAUGAGUACUCGAGGUCAGAGACACGAUUAUUAGUGACGGGCAUGAGUACCUGAAGUCAGAAACACGAUUAUUAGUGACGGCAUGAGUACUCGAGGUCAGAGACAUGAUUAUUAGUGACGGGCAUGAGUACCUGAAGUCAGAGACACGAUUAUUAGUGACGGGCAUGAGUACCUGAAGUCAGAGACACGAUUAUUAGUGACGGGCAUGAGUACCUAAAGUCAGAGACACGAUUAUUAGUGACGGGCAUGAGUACCUGAAGUCAGAGACACGAUUAUUAGUGACGGGCAUGAGUACCUGAAGUCAGAGACACGAUUAUUAGUGACGGGCAUGAGUACCUGAAGUCAGAGACACGAUUAUUAGUGACGGGCAUGAGUACCUGAAGUCAGAAACACGAUUAUUAGUGACGGGCAUGAGUACCUGAAGUCAGAGACACGAUUAUUAGUGACGGGCAUGAGUACCUGAAGUCAGAGACACGAUUAUUAGUGACGGGCAUGAGUACUCGAGAUCAGAGACACGAUUAUUAGGGACGGGCAUGAGUACUCGAGGUCAAAGACAAUAUUAUUAGGGAUGAGCAUGAGUACUCAAGGUCAGAGACACGAUUAUUAGUGACGGGCAUGAGUACUCAAGGUCAGAGAGACUAUUAUUAGG